rnacentral:tRNA from 1 species
GUCCUGGUAGCUCAGCGGACAGAGCGUCGGCCUGAAACGCCGAAGGUCACAGGUUCAAGUCCUGUCCAGGACA